AGCUCAGCUGGUUAGAGUGCCGGUCUGUCACACCGGAGGUCGCGGGUUCGAGCCCCGUCA
rnacentral:tRNA from 1 species